UAAGUAACGUGUUGUGAUUUAUUAAUUCUAGAAUAAAAUAAAAUAUUUCGAUAUAAAAUCAUUAUUCUUCUUGAUAAGAGAGACUUUCUUGACAUCCUUAGGGGUAUUCCUGUCAUUUCUCCUAAGGCUUUCUUUGGACACUCAAAAGGGUAUUCUUGUCAUUUUACCUUGUGGAUAUUCAAAAGAGCAAGCUGGUAAUCUCCCCUUUUCCCCUCUUUCUUGCGUUGCCACCUGUUUCGUACUUCCAUCUGCAACCACAUAUGUUUUGUAUCUUCCUUCUUCUGCAUUGGUUGUUCUGGAAAGUUUCUCCUAAUUUUCUUGAAAAAACAACAGAUUCAUUUGGUGGUGAAAUCAACUCUUCAGAAAUUCCCUCCUACGAACGAAAAAAAGGUAUACCUUCUGUCUUUGGUUUGUUCAUUUCAUGUGUUUAGUGGCGGAGACAGGAAUUCUAUCCAGGGAUUCAAAUAAAAAAAAUGUUGUUGCCUGGAAUCGAACUUGUGACCCAAAGCUCACAUAUAGGCGAAAUCCUGAACCCCAUAAACCAUUGAGCUACUCCUUUGAUAUAUAUGCUCAGGGGGUUCUACACGUACACAAAAAAAUUGAUCUUAUAUAUUUAGUGUAAUUUUUUUUUCGACCCCCUGGACACACUCUACAUCCGCCACUGCAUGUGUUAGGUUUUUCCCUUUCAGCCGAAACUUUUUCCAGUCGAAUUUAGAGAGCCCUUACUGACUUGCGUCUUUCCAUCUUUGUUUCAUCGAUUUAUGUCUUGUUAAAUGUUGUAUUUGUUAGCUUAAGUUGUUGCCUUCUGCUUAAAUUUAAUAUUAUUUUGAAUUGGAAGAAAUCGAUAGAUUUCCAGCUGAGAGUAGCUUGGUGACAAGCUCCCUGCUCCUCACAUAUUAUCUGUUCCUACUUUAGUGAUAAAACUUCAUUUUGCUAUUUAUAUUUUAGUAAUUCUGUUUCAAUUUAUAUGUCUUACUUUUAUUUUUAAUAUGUUAGAUAUUUAAAUUACGAAAAAGACUAUUAUAUAAAAUUAUAACAAUUAACAACUUAGAAUAUUUCAAAAAUAUAUCAACAAAAUUAUUUACUAUAUAAAUUUUAUAAUGUAUAAAUUGAGACAUAUGUGGUAACAUGUUAUUUAAAAAGUACGUAAAAAUAAAGUAUUGUAAAUUACAAUAAUUAACAACUUAAACUAUUUAAAAAUAAGAAGAUAGCCACAUAAAUUGAGACAAAUAAAGUAACAUACAUUGGGCGUUAAGGAUCAGUAAGUGAAUUCUCUGAUUUGUCCUUCUACUUCAAUUUCUUCUAUUUAUAUUUAACACAUUUUUUUGUUCAAUGUAUGUCUUACUUUCCUUUUAAGUAUGUUAUAUAUAUUUAAAAAUUACAAAAAAAUAAUAUUAUAAAUCACAAUCAUUAACAACAUAAAAUAUUUAAAAAACAUAUUGAAAUUUUGAUUGACUCUCAAAAUUUCACACGUGCUCACAUAAAUUGGGACAGAGAGUAAUAUAUAUAUAUUAUUUGAAAUUUACAAAAGACAUGUUUUACACUUAAUACAAAGUAAAUUUAUUUUUAUACAUUAUUAUAUAUUUUAUAUUUAUACAAAAUAAAUACAUUACUUACAUAGAUGUGUAAACAAUUUAUUAUAAUAAUAUAUAAAAAUGCAUAAAUAUUGUUAUAAAAAAAAUAGACAUAACUCAUAAGGGCGUAAACCUGAAAAUGCGAUUAUAUAUGUAGUUUUUAUUUUUGAAAUUUUUUCAAAAUAUAGAUUUUAAUGAUAAAAGUGUCUAUUAUAACAAAAAAAUAUAUAAACACAUAAAUUUAUUAAUUAAAUAUAUGACAUUAAUUUAUCUCAACCAAUAAACAAGUUGAGUUUUAUACAAAAGUAGUCUUAUUAUCAUGAUGAAUUAUUUAAGAACGCAAUAAAUUUAUAUAAUCAACCUCAAAUAAUUCAAAGUUUGAAAACUAAAACCUCAUGAAAAUGGGAGUAAAUGAGAAAGUCAAGUGACUGAUUUGUUCAAACAAAGACAAUGUCAAAUCUAAACACCAAGUUUGGCUUUUCCCAACUAAAAAUACAAGUCUUGCUCCUUGACGACCACAUAAGUAUAUUUUUGGAAUUUAAUUACUUUAAAUAAAUAGAUCAAAAAUUACGUUUAGUAUAUAACUGAAUUUGUGAGACAAUAAACACCUAUUAAGAAAAACAUUUAAGGAUAUCAUGUUAGAGGGGUUCAAUCUUCAUGUUCGAGGACAUCAAAUUUGACUUUCUCAUUAUUAUAUUCUAAUUUCAAUUAGCUUUGUCAUUUUCUUGUACAUCCAAUUCAGUGGCGGAGUCAAAAAUUUCAAGAAGAGUGUUCAAGUGCUAAAGUGAGUCUGCUCUUCCUAAAAAGUGAAAAAAAAGAGUUAUUACUAGUGAGAUUCGAACACUCUUUCAAGAGUGUCUGAAACCACUAGGCUACAUCAUAUUGUUGUGUCAAGGGAGUCCAA
rnacentral:lncRNA from 1 species